rnacentral:rRNA from 1 species
AUACGUAGGUGACAAGCGUUAUCCGGAUUUACUGGGCGUAAAGGGCGUGUAGGCGGUCUUGCAAGUCAGAAGUGAAAUUCCUGAGCUCAACUCGGGCGCUGCUUCUGAAACUGCAGGACUUGAGUGCUGGAGGGGAUAGCGGAAUUCCUAGUGGAGCGGUAAAAUGCGCAGAUAUUAGGAAGAACACCGGUGGCGAAGGCGGCUAUCUGGACAGUAACUGACGCUGAGACGCGAAAGCUUGGGCAGCAAACAGGAUUAGAUACCCUGAUAGUUCACGCCGUAAACGAUGAAUACUAGGUGUAGGGGGUAUCGACUCCCUCUGUGCCGCAGUUAACGCAAUAAGUAUUCCGCCUGGGGAGUACGGCCGCAAGGUUGAAACUCAAAGGAAUUGACGGGG